CGUCCGCGUUGCCACACGCCAGCUGGACGCCGCCAAUCUUUGUAGCUUAAUUUAACUCUUGCGGCAAGAAAACGGUUUUUGGAUUCAGUUUGGACAGACAUCUCUUGGCGAACAUUUGGUGUGUGACAGCAGAGUGGCUGGAAGCAUGGGGAUCAGAGGGACCACCGGGUGAGCACCCUGGCUUCCCGGUCACCACCGUGCUCCCCUUCUCUACUAACAGCGCUGUGAUAGAAAAGGCCGGAAGGAACUCUGUGUCGCCAUAGGGUACUGGUCCACGGGAGUGUGAACAGAUUCACCGUGGGUAUGUGUGCAUGCUGGAACAGUGUGCAGCCCUGAAAGGUAGGGAAGAUCUUCGGGUUCCAACUGGACUGGUAUCUAAGGGUCAGCAUUGUGUGAGAAGGGGUGGUCAGAACAGCAUGUAAACUGGAUGGCUUCCAUUUAAUCUUCCAGGAAGAGCUCAGUAGCUUUACAUCUCACGUGAAUGAAAAAGACAAAAAUGAGACACAAGCAGAAUCCCAGUGUGGUUUCCAU